AUACUUAACUGGCAGGGAAGAUACCAUGAUCACGAAGGUGGUUUUCCCAGGGCAAGGCUUAUCCAUUGCACUCUGGAUGUGCUGACCCCUGUGAUUUCCCCAAAUGUGGGAAACUCGACUGCAUAAUUUGUGGUAGUGGGGGACUGCGUUCACACUUA
ensembl:snRNA U1 U1 spliceosomal RNA